rnacentral:lncRNA from 1 species
UCUUGGUUACAAAAUUGAUACAAAUGGUAAUGAGUUUGACCAGCCUUCUAAGAGAACAUAAAUUGCUUUGGUAACUUAAUGUAAAUUUUGCUAUAUUACUGAUAUGCUUCUCAAAUUGAUAACCUUAUUUUCACUUUUAUUUUUUUGUUAUUCCUUAUUCUAAUAUUAUGCUAACUUGGGGCUAUACUUUGAUGUUGUAUUUGUAUAGGACAAGGUCUCUACUCAAAGAAAUCAAAGAUGGAGGGACUAAGAUGCUACUAGUUUGAGGGACCCCAAC